CCUAGUACGAGAGGACCGGAGUGGACGCAUCACUGGUGUUCGGGUUGUCAUGCCAAUGGCACUGCCCGGUAGCUAAAUGCGGAAGAGAUAAGUGCUGAAAGCAUCUAAGCACGAAACUUGCCCCGAGAUGAGUUCUCCCUGAGCCUUUAAGGCUCCUGAAGGAACGUUGAAGACGACGACGUUGAUAGGUCGGGUGUGUAAGCGCAGCGAUGCGUUGAGCUAACCGAUACUAAUGAACCGUGAGGCUUAACCUU
rnacentral:rRNA from 1 species